UCGCCUCACAGGGCUUUUUCAAUUGUCAAUAAGAAAAAUUAUUGCCAAUUGAAAAAGCCCUGUGAGGCGA